rnacentral:lncRNA from 1 species
GGCACCCCGGGCCGCCGGCGGCCAGAGGAGAGCUCACGUGCACUGUUCUCCGAAGAAAACGAGACCAUACAAUAAACGGCUCUUUUAUUUAUAAAAAAGCCCCGGGAGCAGUCUUCAGGGCUGCAGGAUCCAGUUCUCUCUGCGUCCCGCGGGGAAGUCGGCCUCACGCCCCCCUGCCUGGGCUGGGGCGCCCCUCGGGGCGCUCGAGCACCGCCGCCCGCGCAGCCUCUGCCCUUCCUCUGUGUCCCCGGCUGCCCGAGGUCGCCCGAGGUCGUCACCACGGAGAGCCGAGCACCAGCCCGCCCCCCGCCCGCCCCGGGAAAGUGUGUGGUCAGCUCGGAGAGGGAACUCAGCCUGCCACCUGUGCUGUCCCCUACCCUGCCCCGCGGCCACCUCCUCUGGGAGGAAGGCUCCCGAAGGCCGCUGGGUCGGAGGACGGUACCGGCCCUUUGCUGGGGGCUAGCAGCCCGCGGGGGGCCGAGAAGGGGUCUCAGAUGUGGCGGGGAGGGGCCAGCCUGCGGGAGGGUCGGGGAGGCUGGAGGGAACUGUUGAUAAAUCUUGGCUCUUCCUGCUUCUCCCCUUUUUGCCAAACACCUUUUGGGCCCCCGAAGGCUGCCGAGGGGGCUCAUCUGUGGGGCCCACCUGCUCCUUGGUGCAAGUUCCCUGCCUUGCCUUCCCCCUGCCCUUGGCAGCUGCCCCCUCACCCCAUCCCACCUGGUCUAGCGCAGAUAUCCACAGCUCAGCCCCCAGUCCUGCAUGCUGGAGAUUUCUGGAUCCUUCCCUGGGAGGGGGAGGUCUCCUAACCAGAUUGGACAGGAGCCUUCAUUCCUUGACUUGUGUCAUUUGGGAGCUAUUUAUUUAUUCUUAAUAUUUAAUUUUUAACAUCCUCUCAGGGACCAGGGGCCUCCUGCUUUCCAGAGGCCCAAGUGCAUUUAUCCCAAAACAAGGCAUCUUCUUGGCAUCCACCCCACCCCCCCAUUCCUAACACCCUAAGGUCCCUCACCUUGUUGCUCUGGAAGCUCUUGCCAAUACGAGUGUUAGUAGCCCUGAAAGAGGGUGGAAAGGUGUAAGGUGUCACCAAAGCCACACAAAGACUAGCAGAAGCAAGGAAGGUCAAAGGCAGUUCUCAUUGCUACCUCUUCUCUGGCUGUAUUUUCAAAUUGCUCGAGGGGAUUGGCUGGAAGCCAGAAUUCUAGUUUUCUUUCUGGCUGGAGGAGGCCAUAUUUGGCAUGGAGUCACUGAAGUGAAGGGCUGGAAGGUUCUAGAGGCCCCAUCACUUCCCAUAGGAGGGCCGCGUUAUUUUUCUGAUCUUGUUCUUCAGCGUUAGUUCUGUGAAACGUUCCAAGUGAACGUGAGCAUAGGACAGGUCGGCAGGUUAGGAAGGAGCCAAAAAUCCUGCUAUUCUCCUUACUACCCAAUAGCCUAAAGACAUCCAUGUUCCUAUUUGGGAGCUUGGAGUGGGGAGGGAGUUUUGUUUCUAAACUAUGCACUAACAGGUGUUUUUCAGCAUUCAGUUAUGCAUGAAUACAGUUCUUCAGGACCCCAGCGAUAGGAGUAACAAAAUUCUCCCCGCCAGACUCCAGGACGGCUACCUAGAUCGUCAACUUCCCCAGUUAGUUUCCUCCAAAGGCUUCUUCCAGGACCCAAGUUUGCAAAAAUCUGGUAUGCCCUCCAGAAACAGGAGGGUGGCAAAUUUAAGCUGUCUUCUAAAUCACUUGUGUAAUAAGAGUGCCUUCGCAGCUUCGCCCCAAAGUGCUACUUAUGUUUCCUGAGGUUUUUUCUAUUUAAACAGUAUUUUGUUUCAGGCCCCCCUGUGGACAUGUGGUAAGAGGAACCUCCUUGUUUAGAGAGAUUCUCCUCCUCUACGCUCACAGGAAUCAGACUAGGCAAAUAUUGGUGGAAAAAAUCAAGGUGGUACCUCUGUAUUAAUUCCACCAGACACUGUAUUUUCGAAGGGCUCGUGCUCCAGGAUGGAUUUAGAUCUAGAAUACACGGUGAAAGUUAAAAUGUGUAGAGGGCAAUGCCAUUGUUCCAAGUGACCUGCCAAUAAAGUAGGUGCAGCCAUAGGAGCUGGGAUGGGUAUAUCCUUUAAUGGUGCUUUCUCUCUGUGAACACAGUAGGCUUAUCUUUUUUUUUUUUUCCCUUGUUCUCUUCUAUUCAGAGCUGUUUGCUUUAAGAAGUUAAAUGACAAACACCUCCAGCUUUAUAAUGUCCUCCCCACACCAUCUCACAUAGCCAUCUUCCAGUCUCCAUCUACACUUAGCUAAGGGCAUGAAACUAACCUAGUGCCUGUGUCCCAGACCAUUUCUGAGGUGUCUUACCCACCCAAGGAGACUGUGCUUCAGCGCACUGUCCUCCAUGCCUUCAGCAGCCCCCCUCACAGCUAAGGUACACCCUCAUCCCUUCUGACCCCACCACCACCCCUGGCACAGAGGUCAUGUGCUGCUUAUGUCUAGAGAAUCCCCUAUAUUUAACUGCCUCAGUGACCUAACCUCUUUCUUCUCAUGUGCCAGAUGUUAAGAUGAAGGAGGAAUACAACACAUACUCAAGCCUCAGCUGUUUAAAUAUAUUUUCACUGGGGCUCUCUUUUUUUUCGAACGGUAUUUAUUACCAGACUGGCAAGCCUAACUCCUUAGGUUUACAGGAAGUAUGCACAUUUUUAUAAAACAAUUGUAUGUCCUCCCCAUAUUUCGCUGUGUUAAUGUUUGCCUCUAACAAUUUGCAGCUGUUUCACCUUUUCCUCAUUUGUCUUUAAGUUGAAGGUCUUGUGUGGAGGGGACAGCACAGGAACAGCCUUGACAGUCUGUAAUUAUUGUACAAAUAUUUUAAUAGCAUAUAAAUAAGUAUAUUCCUUUUAUUUUGGAAAAAAAAAACAUGAUCAGACACUGCCUUUUGUGUGUUUGCUGCCUGUGGCACCCUUUUUUAAAAAGACUGUUACAUAUUAAAAUAGUGUAUAUAUAUAUAUAUAUAUAUAUAUAAAUAUUACCUCUUUUGCUGUACAGUUGUGAUAGACCAGACUGAAGAUUUUAUUUUUUGUGUGCUUUUUAUAAAAAAGAAAAAAUAACACACUAAAGUAAAUCUUGCGGAUGUGAUUGUAAUGUACCUAUGUAACUUAUUUACUUUUGAAUGUUCUUCUGUAUCUUUAAACCUUUUAUUAAAUAAGGUUUUAAAAAUU